GGUGUAUUGGCUAAUGUGUGUUGGCUAAGGUGUCUUGGCUAAGGUGUCUUGGCUAAGGUGUCUUGGCUAAUGUGUCUUGGCUAAGGUGUCUUGGCUAAGGUGUCUUGGCUAAGGUGUCUUGGCUAAGGUGUCUUGGCUAAGGUGUCUUGGCUAAGGUGUCUUGGCUAAGGUGUCUUGGCUAAUGUGUCUUGGCUAAUGUGUCUUGGCUAAUGUGUCUUGGCUAAGGUGUCUUGGCUAAUGUGUCUUGGCUAAGGUGUCUUGGCUAAGGUGUCUUGGCUAAGGUGUCUUGGCUAAGGUGUCUUGGCUAAGGUGUCUUGGCUAAUGUGUCUUGGCUAAGGUGUCUUGGCUAAGGUGUCUUGGCUAAUGUGUCUUGGCUAAUGUGUCUUGGCUAAGGUGUCUUGGCUAAUGUGUCUUGGCUAAGUUGUCUUGGCUAAGGUGUCUUGGCUAAGGUGUCUUGGCUAAGGUGUCUUGGCUAAGGUGUCUUGGCUAAUGUGUCUUGGCUAAUGUGUCUUGGCUAAGGUGUCUUGGCUAAGGUGUCUUGGCUAAUGUGUCUUGGCUAAGGUGUCUUGGCUAAUGUGUCUUGGCUAAGGUGUCUUGGCUAAGGUGACUUGGCUAAUGUGUCUUGGCUAAGGUGUCUUGGCUAAGGUGUCUUGGCUAAUGUGUCUUGGCUAAGGUGUCUUGGCUAAUGUGUCUUGGCUAAGGUGUCUUGGCUAAUGUGUCUUGGCUAAGUUGUCUUGGCUAAGGUGUCUUGGCUAAUGUGUCUUGGCUAAGGUGACUUGGCUAAGGUGUCUUGGCUAAGGUGUCUUGGCUAAGGUGUCUUGGCUAAUGUGUCUUGGCUAAGGUGUCUUGGCUAAUGUGUCUUGGCUAAGGUGUCUUGGCUAAUGUGUCUUGACUAAUGUGUCUUGGCUAAGGUGUCUUGGCUAAUGUGUCUUGGCUAAGGUGUCUUGGCUAAGGUGUCUUGGCUAAGGUGUCUUGGCUAAGGUGUCUUGGCUAAUGUGUCUUGGCUAAUGUGUCUUGGCUAAGGUGUCUUGGCUAAGGUGUCUUGGCUAAGGUGUCUUGGCUAAUGUGUCUUGGCUAAGUUGUCUUGGCUAAGGUGUCUUGGCUAAGGUGUCUUGGCUAAGGUGUCUUGGCUAAGGUGUCUUGGCUAAGGUGUCUUGGCUAAGUUGUCUUGGCUAAGGUGUCUUG